rnacentral:rRNA from 1 species
CCUACGGGUGGCUGCAGUGGGGGAUAUUGCACAAUGGGGGAAACCCUGAUGCAGCGACGCCGCGUGUGGGAAGACGGUCCUCUGGAUUCUAAACCACUUUCCCCAGGGACGAAGAUGACGGUACCUGGGGAGGAAGCUCCGGCUAACUACGUGCCAGCAGCCGCGGUAAUACGAGGGGAGCGAGCGUUGUCUGGAAUUACUGGGGGAAAAGGGAGCGUAGGCGGGACUGCAAGUUGGGUGUAAAGUCUACGGUUUCAACCGGUAGCCGCAGUGAAACCUGCAGUUCUUGAGUGAAGUAGAGGAGGGCGGAAUUCCUGGUGUAGCGGUGAAAUGCGUAGAUAUUAGGAGGAACACCAGUGGCGAAGGCGGCCUGCUGGGCUUUUACUGACGCUGAGGCUCGAAAGUGUGGGGAGCAAACAGGAUUAGAUACCCUUGUAGUC